rnacentral:lncRNA from 1 species
ACAUCUGGCAUUUUGCCAGGGGAAUGUUAGAGUUUGUAAACAAGUCUGGAUGGUGCCUGGCAAAAUGCCAGAGGGAGUGGUUUGAGAAGUAACAAAAGCGAGCUAUUAAGUGUGGAGAUUCCUUAUUGGUUGACUGAUGUAUCUAGUUUAUACUAAUUAGAUAAGCUGUGUGGAAUGUAUAAAUACUGCUCCUGUCCUGCAAUAAACGGCUCCCUCUCCUGCUGUAUCAACGUACACAAGUUAUUCGUCACCCCCCGGCUAGUUUGCUGCAGCCGGACUGCGGCAGAUGGUGGCCCGUUACGGGGAGCCCCGGGACACUCGGGGGUAAGUGACGAAAAAAAGCUGCCCGUCCAUAGAUAGGACGGGGGCAAUCUGCUCGUCCCUAGGCAGAUAGGGCGAGAGGAAAAAUGGCCAUUUUGAAAAGAUUGAUACAGUAUGUUUGUGUCUUGUUUUGUCUUGAAAUGUUGUAUUGUCUUUGUGAUGAAAAUAUGGAAGGGGUAAAAAGUAAAUUUCUAAGGAAAGGAGGCACCCCAAUGGAACCAAGAAUAGUUAGGGCAUGUGUUGAUAAGAGCCCAGGAACUCUAGUCAGAAAGAAAAAGAAAAUUCAGAAGAAGAAGGAUUAUCAGGAAAAAAGUUGCAGCAAAAGGCUGUUACUAAAUACUUUUCGUUACCGGAGGGUGCAUGAAGCGGAGAGAGGCGGCUGCCGAGUGUGCAAGCCGGUCACAGCGCAGCAAGGAUUUUCCAAGAGGCGGCAGCAACUGGCCCUUCCCCGCCUCCUGGCCGGGGAGCUGGCUCUUCCACUGCCACGAGCCCAAAUCUAGACCUGACCUGGAGGCACAGUCUCGCAGGCUCUUGCUCCCUGUGCCCAGUAGCAGUUUGAGUUCGGGAC